CAUCGGAUGCUUCCUCAGCCGCUAAGGCAAUCCCGUGAUGCAACGCGGCGCACCUGAAAGUUGGAAGAUGGCGGACGGAGUCGAUGCGGCAAGCAGCGAAGUCAUCUUUAAAUGACGAUCCUUGUGGAACUGGGGCUACAACAUAAAGUGACUCCUCAACAAGCCUGAAAAAAAUGGGACAAUUUAAAGAAGAAAUACAAGGAGCUGAAGUGUCCACCGUCUGGAAGUGGGACAGACAACGGGGAAGCCACUGCAGCCACUUGGCCCUGGUUCAGCCUCAUGGACGGGGCUCUUGGUAACCGGCCCUCGAUUUCACCGCCUCUGCUAAUAGCCUCGUCAGAUGAGGCGGAACCAGGGCCAUCUUCUGCUGUGGCUCCCCGUUGUCUGAGGAAAGACCAAGGAAGAGGCAAGGAACCCUAAUCGACCUCUUGCGAGAGGACAUGGAGAGGGAGAGGGAAAGAGGAGAGAGCGAGCGGAGCAGGAGCGGCCUUCUUGAGAAACUUAUUAGCAAGAUUAACUAAUGCAUUUUAAAAAUAAAGCUUAUUUUAUG